GACAAGUCACACAGGCCAAGCAAACUUUUCAAUUCGGAGCGCACCGUAUAGUCCACACGUAGAUGGAACUAUGCGCCUGUGUUGGUGAAAGAGCGAGAAAAUCGAGGCCGCCGCCGUUCGACCUGAUAUCCGACCUCUACGAUCAUCGUCAUCAGCGCAUAUAAUCGGCGGAGCUAGGUUUUUUCGCAAUCAGAGGCAUCGGCUUAUUCACCUUCAGCUUUGCUCGAAAAGCAGGAAGUCACUUCGCGUGUUCAAGAUCUUCUGAGAUCUACCCCUUUCAUCGAUCCCGCCAAGGUGACUCUAACAGAAGUUUUUAGGAUGACUUGCAACUGGAUAUGUUGGAUAAUGUGCUACUUAUGGUAGCUGUGGAAGAAGAAUUUGCAGUUGACAUCCCGGAAAAUGAAGCCAACAAGAUUUCAACCACAGCUUAUCUCAUAGGCUACCUUGCAACCCCAUCCACAAGCCAAAUGGGAUUAUCUUUGUUGCCAGGUCAAAUCUUGUUGUCAAACAUAGGUAUGUUCUUGUCCAUCAAUAUGGUGUCCGUCGAUGAUAUUUAAUGACUUUGCCACAUUCCUAUGCUUCCUAAAAUCUGAGCACCGUGCUUUUAAAUUCAUAAUGAUGUUCUUAAAAGUCAAAUAUGGCGAUGCUGUUGUUUUCUAAACUGUUUGUGAUGUGAACUUGGAGUUUCCUCAAAUUAGUGAAUAAGUUGUGGUUCUUUA